CAAAAGAGUGGCUAAUACCGGAUGUGGACUACGGUUUAAAGCAGGGGAUCUUCGGACCUUGCGCUAUAAGAUGAGCCUAUGCAAGAUUAGCUAGUUGGUGAGGUAAAGGCUCACCAAGGCGACGAUCUUUAGCUGGUCUGAGAGGAUGAUCAGCCACACUGGGACUGAGACACGGCCCAGACUCCUACGGGAGGCAGCAGUGGGGAAUAUUGGACAAUGGGCGGAAGCCUGAUCCAGCAAUACCGCGUGUGUGAAGAAGGCCUUCGGGUUGUAAAGCACUUUUGUCAGGGGAGAAUGGUAGUAGAGGUUAAUACCCUUUGCUAUUGAUGUUACCUGAAGAAUAAGCACCGGCUAACUCCGUGCCAGCAGCCGCGGUAAUACGGGGGGUGCAAGCGUUAAUCGGAAUUACUGGGGCGUAAGGGCGCGUAGGUGGUUACUUAAGUCAGAUGUGAAAGCCCCGGGCUCAACCUGGGAAUUGCGUUUGAUACUGGGUAACUAGAGUGUGGGUAGAGAGU
rnacentral:rRNA from 1 species